rnacentral:rRNA from 1 species
AGUGAACGCUGGCGGUAGGCCUAACACAUGCAAGUCGAACGGCAGCACAGGAAAGCUUGCUCUCUGGGUGGCGAGUGGCGGACGGGUGAGGAAUACAUCGGAAUCUACUUUUUCGUGGGGGAUAACGUAGGGAAACUUACGCUAAUACCGCAUACGACCUACGGGUGAAAGCAGGGGACCUUCGGGCCUUGCGCGAUUGAAUGAGCCGAUGUCGGAUUAGCUAGUUGGCGGGGUAAAGGCCCACCAAGGCGACGAUCCGUAGCUGGUCUGGAAGAAUGAUCAGCCAACCUGGAACGGAGACACGGUCCAGACUCCUACGGGAGGCAGCAGUGGGGAAUAUUGGACAAUGGGCGCAAGCCUGAUCCAGCCAUACCGCGUGGGUGAAGAAGGCCUUCGGGUUGUAAAGCCCUUUUGUUGGGAAAGAAAUCCAGCUGGCUAAUACCCGGUUGGGAUGACGGUACCCAAAGAAUAAGCACCGGCUAACUUCGUGCCAGCCGCCGCCGUAA